CCUACGGGAGGCAGCAGUGAGGAAUAUUGGUCAAUGGGCGCGAGCCUGAACCAGCCAAGUAGCGUGAGGGAUGACUGCCCUACGGGUUGUAAACUUCUUUUAUAUGGGAAUAAAGUGUUCCACGUGUGGGAUUUUGUAUGUUCCAUAUGAAUAAGGAUCGGCUAACUCCGUUCCAGCCGCCGCGGUAAUACGGAGGGACCGAGCGUUAUCCGGAUUUAUUGGGUUUAAAGGGAGGGUAGGGGGGUUGUUAAGUCAGUUGGGAAAGUUUGCGGGUCAACCGUAAAAUUGCAGUUGAAACUGGCAGUCUUGAGUACAGUAGAGGUAUGCGGAAUUCGUGGUGUAGCGGUGAAAUGCUUAGAUAUCACGCAGAACUCCGAUUGCGAAGGCAGCUCACCGGACUGCAACUGACACUGAGGCUCGAAAGUGUGGGUAUCAAACAGGAUUAGAUACCCGUGUAGUC
rnacentral:rRNA from 1 species